rnacentral:rRNA from 1 species
UACGAAGGGGGCUAGCGUUGCUCGGAAUUACUGGGCGUAAAGCGCACGUAGGCGGCUUUCUAAGUCGGGGGUGAAAUCCUGGAGCUCAACUCCAGAACUGCCUUCGAUACUGGAGAGCUUGAGUCCGGGAGAGGUGAGUGGAACUGCGAGUGUAGAGGUGAAAUUCGUAGAUAUUCGCAAGAACACCAGUGGCGAAGGCGGCUCACUGGACCGGUACUGACGCUGAGGUGCGAAAGCGUGGGGAGCAAACAGG